AAAAGAGGAAAUAUGGACAGAGACACACCAACAGGGAGAUUGCCGUGUGGACAUCAUGGCAGAGAUUGGGCUGGUGCAUCUGUAAACCAAGAAGCACAAAAGAUUUCCAACAAACCACCAGGAGCAAGGCAAGAGGCACAGAAGAGAUUCUCACAACCCACAGAAGGAACCAACACUGCUAGCGCCCCAGACUUCCAGCCUCCAGAACUGUGAGACAAUAAGUGUCUGUUUAAGCCACCCAGUUUGUGGUCUUUGUUACAGCAGCCCAAGCAAACUAAUUUAUGGUUAAUUAACCUAAGAAAAUGUGACCAAGCUAGUAAUUAGAAAAAUCAAAAUAAUAAUAAUCUAUUUCUGCACGCCGAUCAGAUUGGCAAUAGUACAAAAAUAUCAAUGAAUGGUGAGGAUGUAGAGCAAUAGAACUAUCCUGUCAUCUACUACUUUUGACAACCACUUUCCAAACAGUUUGGAACAACUUGAUAUCAUCUGUCCCACCCAAUGGCUUCAAUCUUUAGGUAGAAAUUUGUCACUUGCCUACCUCUAAAUGCACAGUCCAGAAGAGUAAAAACAGCAACAAUGACAAGAUUCUGUUUAAGAAAAAAGAAGAAGAUAGAUAUUUGGUAAGGAAUUAGUAGUAUCUGCUCCCCUUGUGCCAGUCGUUGUUUGACAUGCUUGUGCAAUUAUACUUUUUCUUUUUUAUAUACUUUUAAGGUAUAUAUUUUUUCAUACAAAAAUGUGCAUAAAUGAGGUCUGCUCUAAAACUUGAGGAAGAAAUUUUCUACAUUCAACUUAGUGCGAAUGAGUAUGUCAGUGGUUACCUUGAUUUACUUCUAAAAAACUGUCAUGUGAAAGUAUGCAUCCUCAAGAACGAAUCCCUCUGUGAGACAGAUUAUAGACUAUCCCUCUUCUGUGGAGUUGGCCUCUCACUCAACUUGGCAUAGUGCUCUAGAGAGGGCAGGCCUGCAACUAUUUCCUGGUUCUGCUGAAGUGAUAAGGAUAUAAAUGGGAUUAUACUUUUCGGAAUUUAUCAUUGCAUUUUUACCUCAGGAUCACUCUUUUUUUUUUCUAAAUUUCAGAGGUUUUUGGUAAUCCAAAAUCUUCUGUGUGAUGCCUGAGCCAACCCUUCCUCAUAAUUCUCUUCCCCCUAGUAACUUAAGGAGCCUCUAUGGAAGUGGGGAGAGACAAAAGUGGAAGUCUGCUGGGUAGGGCUGCUUGGAAAACUUUUGCUUUCUUGACACAAAGGGAUCUUUUCUGCUUGUACAGAAUGUUGUGGAGAUGUUGGCAGGUGUGAUGCAGCAAGCAUGGGGACUAAAGCAAACAUAUCAUGGAUUGUGGAGCAGAACUUGGACCAAACCCAAAUCCCAAUAAGCAUUGCUGAACACUUGCAUCAGCCCAGGAUUACCUAUCUAUGGACUCCUACACCACAUGCCAUUAGAUGCAGAGGCUACAUCCUAAGAUGUAUUCCAGAAAUCUUAGAACAUAAAAAUUAUUUCUCACUCUGUCUACUUGUAGAUAAAUAGAAGCCAUUGUUGUAGGACCCCAUCCAGGGGCCUAUGUCAUAUAAAUUAUUGAACGACAGUUUAUUAGCCCAUUCUCAUGCUGCUAUAAAGAACUACCCAAAACUGGGUAAUUUAUUAAAAAAAAAGAGGUUUAACUGACUCACAGUUUCACAGGCUAUACAGAAGGCAUGGCUGGGGAGGCCUCAGGAAACUUACAAUCACAGCUGCAAGCGAAGGGGAAGCAGGCACAUCUUCAUAUGGCAGCAAGAGACAGAGAGAGUGAAGCGGGAAGUGCUACACACUUUUAAACAACUAGAUCACAUGAGAACUCUAUCACAAAAACAGCAAGGGGGAGGCCCCCCCGCCAUGAUCCAAUCACCUCCCACCAAGCUCCUCCUCCAACACAUGGGGAUUACAAUUCAACAUGAAGAAUUGGGUUGGGACACACAGAGCCAAACCAUAUCAGACAGUCAAUUGAAAUUUGACUUAAAAAUCAGUAAACUACCUAGAUAAGAGAUUAUAAAUAACUUCCAUAACAAUUUGGUAAUAAACUCCUGAUAAGUCCUAUAUUUUUAAAAAAUCCAGCUAAACUAAAACUAAACAAAAAUGCUAAUAAUAGAGAGGCUUUCAAGUUCAGAAGAGUUAACGCUAGUUUAAUUCCUCAUCUUUAUUCCCCAGAGUCUUGCUCUGUCACCCAGGCUGGAGUGGCAUGCUGGGUUCACUGCAGCCUCUGCCUCCUGGGUUCAAGCAAUUUGCCUGCCUUGGCCUCCCGAGUAGCUGGGAUUACAGGCGCUGUGCACCAUCACACCUGACUAAUUUUUGUAUUUUUAGUAGAGAGAGGGUUUCACCAUGUUAGCCAGGCUGGUCUUGAACUCCUGACCUCAGAUGAUCCACCCGCCUCAGCCUCCCAGAGUGCUGAGAUUACAGGUGGGAGGCACCGCGCCUGGACUCCUCAUCUCUUUUCUUACCUUAAAGAAGUUAACUAACUUUUUGUCUCAAUUACUUAAUCUGUUAAUUAGUCAAUAAUACCUUUUUCACAAUAUUAUUGCUAUACAUGGAAAACAGCAGUUACAUUUCUAGUACAUGGUACUUUUUCAAUAAAUAGCAGCUAUCAUUAAAGCUCACAAAAUCAAGUCAUUCCCUAAGGUCACUAGCUAUGCCAAUUGAUUCUUCUUGGGGCAAUUGAUUCUUCUUUUACGUAAUAAGUGGAUUAGACAAAAUGACUCUUUAAUAUUCUAUAACUACAUAAGACAAAAGUUGUCCCUAUAAACCAGCAUCUCAUACAAGUGGAGUUGCAGAGAAAGAAAAUAAUACUUGAGUUCUAGUCCUAACUCCACCACUGCCCACCAGGUCAACAGAGAAACCACAGAUCCCUUCUGUGUAGAAUUACAGGGUUGAGUGAAUAUGAUCUCUGAUAGUCUCUGAUGCUGUUGGUACCAGACAAAAAUGUCUGAUACUUUUGGUCAUGGUGGGCAGACAACAUGUGAAAGCAGAAGUGAGUUCAAAGCUGGAAGAGUUCACCAUAUUUCAGGAUCAACUGCUGAGACUUGGAUGUCUGGCACCAUUUUGAUCAAAGGCUCAAACCUGUGCCUCUUGACUCUGGUGUCCAGUGCUGGGAAGUCUAUUUGAGACACAGUUUUGCUUCCCUUGCUCUAGGAUAAAAGGGAAGUUAUAGGCUUGUAUUAAUUAAACGUCCGUAAAGUGUGGAUGAGUGAGGCACAUAUACAAUGAAAGUAAAAAGGGAUGUAACCAACCUAAGGAAGGAGUUCUAAAUUCCAUCACCACACACUAGGCCUAUAUGAAGAGAUAACACAAUAAUUAUAGAAAAGGGAUUAUAAGCACCAGGACCUGAAAAUCACCCCCCUCCUUUUUUUUUUUUUAAUGGAGAUAGAGUCUUGCUAUGUCACCCAGGCUGGAGUGCAGUGGCAUGAUCUCGGCUCACCGCAAUCUCCGCCUCCUGGGUUCAAGCAAUUCUCCUACCUCAGCCUCCCGAGUAGCUGGGAUUACAGGUGCCACACCCUGCUAAUUUUUUGGGUUUUUUUUGUAUUUUAGUAUCACCAUGUUGCCCAGGCUGGGCUCGAACUCCUGAGCUCAGGCAAUCCGCCCGCCUCGGCCUCCCAAAGUGCUGGGAAAAUCCCCUUUGAAUGUCAGGGACAGGUUACCUAGGAGAAAGGCACAGCAUUGCAAACAUAAAAUUAAGCAGUUAAUUUCAGAGGAAAAGACUGAGUUUUAGAAAGCCCCUGUUCACUGGAAACAAAAAAUGUGACCAUACAAAAGAGCCUAUAGCAUCAUUUCCAGUUUAGUCUAGUUAGUAGGGAGGGAAUCAUGAUGUGUUGUGUGUGUGGUCUGGGCCUCAAGCCAUUGGGAAAUGCUUAGAAGAAUUUGAUCUACUAUGUUUGUAAGUCUGAUUUACUUGAUUUACAAUUUCUACAAUUUCAGUACUUAGCAAGAUGUUGUUAGAUCUGUAUUUGAGUGUUUAAAAUAAAAUCUGUAUAUAUCUUAGUCAAUUAAACAUUUGAGAUAAUACAGAUGUAUUAAAGUUGUCAUUGUAGUUUAACAUAUCCAAGGCAAUUUUAUUAAAUACAUAAAAUGGUGUUGUUUGAAAAAGAAUUUGAUCUCACAUAUCAAAUUCAGAAAAGCAUUUUUUCAAAGUUACUAAAUGUAAAAAUAAAAUAAGAUUUAUAAUUCAAACUUAAAGUCUUGAAAAUUUUUAAUUUAAAAAUUGUACCUUUAAUCAAAGGAAUAUUGAUUAAAAUCCAAGUUUGGGAUAGAAUUCCUGUUCCUGAACAAAAUCCCCACUGAUAUUAUUCCUUUCAGCAUUUGUCUUCCUGUAGUCUGGCUACCCCAGGCAAAGUGCAGCAGGAGGCAGAAGAAUCCCAUCAUAAGUAGGUAGGCACAAAUCUUUCACGUGUUUCUGCCCAUGCCUGCAUCUGUAGUGCCACCUAGUGUCAGAGAGGGAUAAUAACAUUUUUAGAAGUCAAGGGUGGAGCAUGAAACCCAUUUCAAUUCUCAAUUUUUUCUUAAAUUCUGAAUGUGUGAAACUUUCCAAAAUCGUGGUGUCUAAGCCUUUUUUCUCUCUGCUGUCUCAUGGCAUUUUGUGUUUUCUUGUUUAUAUUCCCAUAGCACAUUCUAUUCAUAUCAUUGAGUAUAUUUCUUAGCUUUGGGUUUAGUAAAACCUCUGCCUUCAUGCAGCUUGUGCACUAGUAAGAUUUCCACUUCUGUCAUACUAUUUAUCACAGCUGGUUCAUAUCAGCAUCAUUUAUAUAUGUCCACCUCUUUUAUUGCCUGGGAGCUGUUUUCUCAAUAGUGCCUCAUUACUAAAGAGGGCCUUGCCUUGUGUUCAAUGAAUACAUAUGGAAUUAAAUAGAUGAGCAAAAAAGAAUAUUGAGC
rnacentral:lncRNA from 10 species